rnacentral:rRNA from 1 species
CCUACGGGGCGCAGCAGUGGGGAAUAUUGCACAAUGGGCGCAAGCCUGAUGCAGCCAUGCCGCGUGUAUGAAGAAGGCCUUCGGGUUGUAAAGUACUUUCAGCGGGGAGGAAGGUGUUGUGGUUAAUAACCACAGCAAUUGACGUUACCCGCAGAAGAAGCACCGGCUAACUCCGUGCCAGCAGCCGCGGUAAUACGGAGGGUGCAAGCGUUAAUCGGAAUUACUGGGCGUAAAGCGCACGCAGGCGGUCUGUCAAGUCGGAUGUGAAAUCCCCGGGCUCAACCUGGGAACUGCAUUCGAAACUGGCAGGCUAGAGUCUUGUAGAGGGGGGUAGAAUUCCAGGUGUAGCGGUGAAAUGCGUAGAGAUCUGGAGGAAUACCGGUGGCGAAGGCGGCCUGCUGGACAUUAACUGACGCUGAGGAGCGAAAGCGUGGGGAGCAAACAGGAUUAGAUACCCUAGUAGUC